GCGGCGAGGAAAAGUAAAGUGACAGCUGGGUCCCGCGCGCAGACUGGGCUCUGACGGGGCCCUCCCACGUAAAAGCACCUUGAGAAAAAGGAUUUCGUCGUCUGGGGUUCAGUGCUGUAUAUAUUCAAUAGAUAAUGACCGAGUGAAAGAAAUUGGUCUCUUUCAGUUGAUGACACAAUAGGCAAGAGAAAGAGGCCCACUGCAAUAUGCUGUGAAGAAUACAUAAGAAGUCAAACUGUUGACCUCUUUUCCCCAGCCCGUUCCAAAACUACAUCCCUGAGGAGUUGUGCACCUCUACGGAAAGUUCAGAUGAAAGAGCUAAUUCCCCUUGAUCUCUCUUCUUGUUCAGAGUGGAGGAAAAACAUAUACCAUCCCUUCCAUCAAUCCUCAGCAUAACUUUGCCAGGGACACUGGUAACAAGCUACUUUUACCUCAGAAGUUGGAGAGUAUCACUUGACCCACAUUGUGUAUGUGUAAAUAUCUUUAUUCAGUGUAUAUACAAUAUAUUCUUAAUUUGACUCUCAAAGUUUAUAAUUAGCAUUGAAUGAGUAUGAAACAUUGUUUUCCAAAUACUGUCAGCAAGCUAUUGAAUAUGUUGUUCCUGAUUUAUGAAUGAGAUUUUCAUCAGCAGAAACUUAUGACAAAUGACCAAUUACAUUGUCACUGCUAA
rnacentral:lncRNA from 1 species